CUCUGGAGUGGUAAACUACCUGUGCUGGGAUCUUAACGGAGACUAUUUGGCAUCUGUCAGUGAGGAAUCGGUGAAAGUUUGGUCGUUAACCUCAAGGGAGUGCAUUCAUGAGAUUAGCUCUUUAGUAUUCAAACCCUACAUUCUUUUGGCUUUCUCAUUUCAAAUUUGAGUCUCUCUUUAUUGGAGCUCCCAUGAUCUCAAAGAUUUUGUUGAGGGAAUAGUUGAUAUGAUCGAGCGGGUGAUGUUGGGAGCCAAAGAUUAUGUUGCUCUUUUUUUUUUUUUUUUUUGAAGACUUGAAUUUUUUAGUACAGUGUAUUUAAGGAUGGUUAAUGGAUAAUGUCUAUUAUAAAUUUAAUUAAUUUGUUAAUUUUGUUAUUUUUCAUUAACAAAAAAUUGUUUGGUGCUUGUAA